GCCAAGGUCGCCUAACCUGGUAUGGCACAGGAUUGCUAAUCCUGCGUCCGCAAGGACUUGGGGGUUCAAAUCCCCCUCUUGGCG
rnacentral:tRNA from 1 species